UACGGAGGGUGCAAGCGUUAUCCGGAUUCACUGGGCUUAAAGGGUGCGUAGGUGGGUUGGUAAGUCAGUGGUGAAAUCUCCAAGCUUAACUUGGAAACUGCCGUUGAUACUAUUAGUCUUGAAUUCUGUUGAGGUUGGCGGAAUAAGUCAUGUAGCGGUGAAAUGCAUAGAUAUGACGUAGAACACCGAUUGCGAAGGCAGCUAACUAAGCAGAUAUUGACGCUGAGGCACGAAAGCGUGGGGAUCAAACAGG
rnacentral:rRNA from 1 species